AUGUAGGCUGAUUGGAAAAAUACUCAUGACAGAAUCUCCUUGAACCAUAAAAAUACUAUUCCUGUGGCAGAGCGGAUGAAUUUGAAGUCCUUUCCAUUCCAGAAGUCUCCGGGCACAAUCCCUCUGCUCUCCACUGAAGUUUGGUAGGGGAACCUGUUGUCUAAAGCAACAGUGAAAUGUAAAUUACUAAGAAUCAUCUACUUACUUAGAAGGCACAACAAGAAAGUUAAUCUUGCCGACAGAAAGAGAUUACAGAAAGCGAAGCCAAACCCCUAACAGUUGAUGUUAUGUAUCACCCUGCUCCUAUAACUUAUUAAAGAUGUCAUUUUACAAUUAAAAUUUUUAUCAUGAAAAAUGUUAAAUCUUUUCUAACAACCAAAAUACACGUUGAAUUCUUCGCUUUGCACCGAGCUCAGGAUUGAAAAAUGGACUUGAUCAUCACCGGUAAUUGGGUGCAAGACAAGGUUCUGACAAAGAAAUGCGAAUUUAAGAAUUUUGAGAAAUUGCUUAGUAACCUUCCAACUUUUGGAUGGUGAUUUCCAAGCAGCAGGUCCCUCUGUCAAUGAAGCCAUUCUGGACAUAUUGCCCCCGUCACCGCUAACAGCAAUAACUUUCCAGUUUCUACCAACCUGGAUUUGUUUAGACAAUUUAUAGAUUUUUUUUUUCUAGGGUUUUCACGUGAAAUUUGGGAUUUAUUUUGAUUCUAUGAACUCCGAAACAACCCGCCCAUGGCCUUGAGUUUAGUGUCACUUCAUGAUGGUGACAGAGCAAAUCUGGUAUGAAGCAUGAACACCAGAACACUCCACAACUACUGAAAUAUUUAAUAAAUUUGCCGUAUAUUUGUAUUAUACAUAGUAUCGUUUAGGCAGAGGAGAAAAACAGUAUGAUUUCUGUGGGUUGUGGACCUUGGUUCAGGUAAUAAAAGAUUACAUGAUUAUAUUUUUUUAAA